rnacentral:rRNA from 1 species
GCAUAUCAAUAAGCGGAGGAAAAGAAACUAACAAGGAUUCCCCUAGUAACUGCGAGUGAAGCGGGAAAAGCUCAAAUUUAAAAUCUGGCGGUCUUUGGCCGUCCGAGUUGUAAUCUAGAGAAGCGUUACCCGCGCCGGACCGUGUAUAAGUCUCCUGGAAUGGAGCGUCAUAGAGGGUGAGAAUCCCGUCUUUGACACGGACUACCGGGGCAUUGUGGUGCGCUCUCAAAGAGUCGAGUUGUUUGGGAAUGCAGCUCAAAAUGGGUGGUAAAUUCCAUCUAAAGCUAAAUAUUGGCGAGAGACCGAUAGCGAACAAGUACCGUGAGGGAAAGAUGAAAAGAACUUUGGAAAGAGAGUUAAAAAGUACGUGAAAUUGCUGAAAGGGAAACGCUUGGAGUCAGUCGCGUUGGCCGGAAAUCAACCUUGCUUCUGCUUGGUGUACUUUCUGGUUGACGGGCCAGCAUCAGUUUUGACCGGUGGAAAAAGUUCAAGGGAAUGUGGCAUCUUUGGAUGUGUUAUAGCCCUUGUUCGUAUGCACCGAUUGGGACUGAGGAAUUCAGCACGCCGAAAGGCCGGGUCUUUGACCACGUUCGUGCUUAGGAUGCUGGCAUAAUGGCUUUAAUCGACCCGUCUUGAAACACGGACCAAGGAGUCUAACAUGCCUGCGAGUGUUUGGGUGGAAAACCCGAGCGCGUAAUGAAAGUGAAAGUUGGGAUCCUUGUCAUGGGGAGCACCGACGCCCGGACCAGAAGUAUUCUGACGGCUCCGCGGUAAAGCAUGUAUGUUGGGACCCGAAAGAUGGUGAACUAUGCCUGAAUAGGGUGAAGCCAGAGGAAACUCUGGUGGAGGCUCGUAGCGAUUCUGACGUGCAAAUCGAUCGUCGAAUUUGGGUAUAGGGGGCGAAAGACUAAUCGAACCCAUCUAGUAGCUGGUUCCUGCCGAAG